AAGGCUCUUGGGAGACCUUAUAGCAGUUUUCCAGUACCUAAAGCUGUUUUUACUAGACAAGCACGUACAGGGAAUGCUUGGAGAGUCAGCAAGAGUGUUGGGAGCAAUGCGAGGGCAACUCUGAGUUUUGCGAAAUGGAUUACUGUCUGCUAACCGUCCUUCAAGCUAUUUAGCAAAUACAGAUGACUAUAGAGUGUGGGCAGAGAUGGUCCUUAUCGAUAAAUAAUUGGAGGAUGCACCACCACAGACUGAGACUCAAAGGUUUCCUGAGAGGAAUCAGCACUCUAAGUAUUCUUCUGACAAUGCAACAGUCACAGUGAUAACCUGACUUUGCACGACAACAUGGUGGCAGAUUUCCAAACCCAGGAAAGGGAGACUUAAAAUCCGAGCUCUACUUCAGACUGAGGGUCAUCAACCCCAUAGUUCCCAUUUCCCUGGGAGGUUCCCACUGUGUGGGUUAAACACCAGGAGAUGUUCCCUGUCUUUGCUGAAAUUGUGCCUUCUUCUCCCACUACAAACUUAUGUGUAAGACUCACAGCACCAGAGAACACACAGGGAACCUGCCUGCACCACACAAAAGAAGAGGAGGAGGUCUGGUUCGUGAUUGCUGUCAUUCAACUGUCCUCAUCAAUUCAAAAGAAAAAUAUGAAGCCUCCUGGAGCAGGAAGCAGAUUAUCUUGAAAGAGUCUCCUCCUCACAGUUGGUAUAGAGGAAUUAAUCUAAUCAAUUCCUUGAUUAGAUCUUGAUCAAAAAAUUCAAAGGAAAAAAAUUAAUUUCUACAGCACACACUGAAAAGACCACAAAAUAGUUACCAGAAAGCUUCAUUGAAAAAUGUGCUGAGUUGCAGUGGGCUCCGGUAAUAAAAUCAGGACUGGCUGUUUUCCUUAGGGA